AUGCAAGUCGAGCGGCAGCGCGAUAUGUAGCAAUACAUAUUGGCGGCGAGCGGCGGACGGGUGAGGAACACGUAGGAACCUACCCUCGAGUGGGGGAUAACCAAGGGAAACUUUGGCUAAUACCGCAUAAUCUCGAGAGAGCAAAGCUGCCCGAAAGGGUGGCACUUGAGGAGGAGCCUGCGUCCGAUUAGCUAGUUGGUGGGGUAAUGGCCUACCAAGGCGAUGAUCGGUAACUGGUCUGAGAGGACGACCAGUCACACUGGGACUGAGACACGGCCCAGACUCCUACGGGAGGCAGCAGUGGGGAAUAUUGGACAAUGGGCGCAAGCCUGAUCCAGCAAUGCCGCGUGGGUGAAGAAGGUCUUCGGAUCGUAAAGCCCUUUCGACAGGGACGAUGAUGACGGUACCUGUAGAAGAAGCCCCGGCUAACUCCGUGCCAGCAGCCGCCGUAAUAC
rnacentral:rRNA from 1 species